rnacentral:lncRNA from 1 species
UGAAGAUUCCAACUUCCUGGGCAGAGGGUCAUGUAGUGGAAUAGAGCUGUACCUGGCUUCAGGCGAGACUUGGCAACUCCAAAAUGGAAGUACUAUUGUUAUCUCCGUUUACAAAUUAGGAAACUGAGGCACAGAUAUGCUCUUGGGUACUUGUCAGCAGCAGUUGUUCUACAAAUGAGCGUCUUAGCCUCUGGAUUACUGCUCAAUGAGGAAAGCUAUGAAAUGCAUGGAUAACUUGCUAAUCAGUAUUUGCCAUAUGUGCUAGCAGCAUCAGCAUCAGUUGGGAGAUUAUGGUGGCCUCCAUGUCAGACCUCCUAAAUCGGAAUAUCAGAGAAGGUGGCCCAGGUUACCAUGCUUCAUCUGCCAAUGCAUUGAAAACUUGGAAUGUAAAUUAAUUCAACCAUUGUGGAAGAUGGUGUAGUGAUUCCUCAAAGACCUAGAAGCAGAAAUAUCAUUUGAUCCAGAAAUCCCAUUACUGUGUAUACACCCAAAGGAAUAUAAACCAUUCUAUUACAAAGAUACAUGCGUGCGUAUGUUCAUUGCAG